UUUUUGCAGAUAGAUAUAUAUAACUUACUGCAAGUCAGCUAGGUGUCGAAAGAACCUUAGCACCGUGCAACAGGAAGAAGGGAGGAAGAAAUUGUCUAAAAUAGCUUCAACAAGACAUUUGUGUGUUUUGCGUAUGUGUGUGUGGAAUCAAAUAUGGGAGAUUAAUGGAAUCCAACAAAUUUGGAUUGUGGGUGGCUAUUGUUUUUUGCCCAAUGGGACUGGACUGAGCGAAGUUCUAAUAAAAAUAGGUCAAAGUGUGUUAUUGUAAGAAUCAUGAAGCAAAUAAUAGCAACUGGACUACCCCAGAAGUUAUGUAUAGGGAAUGUGAAAAAUAUGCCAAUACUAGCCUCCCCACUGGGUGGUUUGGACUCUGUGUAAUGAG